AUUGAACGCUGGCGGCACGCCUAACACAUGCAAGUCGAGCGGUAACAUGAUUUGUAGCAAUACAAAUUGAUGACGAGCGGCGGACGGGUGAGGAACACGUAGGAAUCUGCCCAGAAGCGGGGGACAACCAAGGGAAACUUUGGCUAAUACCGCGUAAUCUCGCAAGAGUAAAGCUGCCCGCAAAGGUGGCGCUUCUGGAGGAGCCUGCGUCCAAUUAGCUAGUUGGUGAGGUAAGAGCUCACCAAGGCGAUGAUAGGUAACUGGUCUGAGAGGACGACCAGUCACACCGGGACUGAGACACGGCCCAGACUCCUACGGGAGGAAGCAGUGGGGAAUAUUGGACAAUGGGGGCAACCCUGAUCCAGCGAUGCCGCGUGGGUGAAGAAGGCCUUCGGGUUGUAAAGCCCUUUAGGUUGGGAAGAAGUGUACGGGGCGAAUAACCCCGUAUGUUGACGGUACCGACAAAAUAAGCACCGGCAAACUCUGUGCCAGCAGCCGCCGUAA
rnacentral:rRNA from 1 species